rnacentral:rRNA from 1 species
UACGUAGGGGGCGAGCGUUGUCCGGAUUUAUUGGGCGUAAAGAGCUCGUAGGCGGUUCGGCAAGUCGGAGGUGAAAUCUCCAGGCUCAACGUGGAGGGGCCAUCCGAUACUGCCGUGACUCGAGUCCGGUAGGGGAGUGUGGAAUUCCCGGUGUAGCGGUGAAAUGCGCAGAGAUCGGGAGGAACACCCGUAGCGAAGGCGGCACUCUGGGCCGGUACUGACGCUGAGGAGCGAAAGCGUGGGGAGCGAACAGG